UGUCGGCCUUGUACACACCGCCCGUCAAGCUAUGGAAGCUGGGGGUGCCUGAAGUCGGUGACCGCAAGGAGCUGCCUAGGGUAAAACUAGUAACUAGGGCU
rnacentral:rRNA from 1 species